rnacentral:rRNA from 1 species
UACGGAAGGCAGCAGUGGGGAAUAUUGCACAAUGGGCGAAAGCCUGAUACAGCUAUGCCGCGUGUAUGAAGAAGGCCUUAGGGUUGUAAAGUACUUUCAUCGGGGAGGAAAAAACAAAACUAAUAAUUUUAUUUCUUGACGUUACCCGAAAAAGAAGCACCGGCUAACUCCGUGCCAGCAGCCGCGGUAAUACGGAGGGUGCUAGCGUUAAUCAGAAUUACUGGGCGUAAAGAGCACGUAGGUGGUUUUUUUAAAGUCAGAUGUGAAAUCCCUGGGCUUAACCUAGGAACUGCAUUUUGAAACUGAAAUACUAGAGUAUCGUAGAGGGAGGUAGAAUUCUAGGUGUAGCGGUGAAAUGCGUAGAUAUCUGGAGGAAUACCUGUGGCGAAAGCGGCCUCCUAAACGAAUACUGACACUGAGGUGCGAAAGCGUGGGGAGCAAACAGGGAUUAGAUACC